rnacentral:rRNA from 1 species
CCGAAAGGUGAGCUAAUACCCUAUACGCUAUUCUUUUUUACGAAAAGGAUAGGAAAGCCGGGUCGAGGACCUGGUACUCAAGGGAGGGGCUCAUGUCCUAUCAGCUUGUUGGUGGGGUAACGGCCUACCAAGGCUACGACGGGUAGCUGGUCUGAGAGGAUGAUCAGCCACACUGGCACUGAGAUACGGGCCAGACUCCUACGGGAGGCAGCAGUGAGGAAUAUUGCGCAAGUGGGACGAAACGCCUGACGCAGCGACGCCGCGGUGGGGGAUGAAGGUUUUCGGAUUGUAAACCCCCUUUCAUGAGGAAAGAUAAAGUGGGUAACCACUUAGACGGUACCUCAAGAAGAAGCCACGGCUAACUUCGUG